rnacentral:rRNA from 1 species
AUUGAACGCUGGCGGUAGGCCUAACACAUGCAAGUCGAACGGCAGCACAGGAGAGCUUGCUCUCUGGGUGGCGAGUGGCGGACGGGUGAGGAAUACAUCGGAAUCUACUUUUUCGUGGGGGAUAACGUAGGGAAACUUACGCUAAUACCGCAUACGACCUACGGGUGAAAGCAGGGGACCUUCGGGCCUUGCGCGAUUGAAUGAGCCGAUGUCGGAUUAGCUAGUUGGCGGGGUAAAGGCCCACCAAGGCGUCGAUCCGUAGCUGGUCUGAGAGGAUGAUCAGCCACACUGGAACUGAGACACGGUCCAGACUCCUACGGGAGGCAGCAGUGGGGAAUAUUGGACAAUGGGCGCAAGCCUGAUCCAGCCAUACCGCGUGGGUGAAGAAGGCCUUCGGGUUGUAAAGCCCUUUUGUUGGGAAAGAAAUCCAGCUGGCUAAUACCCGGUUGGGAUGACGGUACCCAAAGAAUAAGCACCGGCUAACUUCGUGCCAGCAGCCGCCGUAA